CACCCGAAGGGUGGCAUACGGCUCAGUAACACGUAGUCAACUUACCCUGAGGACGGGGAUAACCUCGGGAAACUGAGGAUAAACCCCGAUAGGCUAUAAUACCUGGAAUGGGUUAUAGCUGAAAUCUACAUGGCCUCAGGAUAGGACUGCGGCCGAUCAGGCUGUUGGCGGGGUAAUGGCCCACCAAACCUAUAACCGGUACGGGCUCUGAGAGGAGGAGCCCGGAGAUGGGCACUGAGACAAGGGCCCAGGUCCUAUGGGGCGCAGCAGGCGCGAAACCUCCGCAAUGGGCGAAAGCCCGACGAGGUUAAUCCGAGUGGCUCCUGCUAAAGGAGUCUUUUGCCAGCUGUAAGGAGGCUGGUGAAUAAAGGGUGGGCAAGUCUGGUGUCAGCCGCCGCGGUAAUACCAGCACCCUGAGUGGUCGGGGCGAUUAUUUGGCCUAAGCAUCCGUAGUCGGUAUAACAAGUCCUCUGUUAAAUCCACCUGCUUACAGGUGGGCUGCGGAGAUACUGUUAUACUAGGAGCGGGAGAGCGAGGGUAUUCCAUGGGUAAGGGUAAAUCUACUGAUCCGUGGAGGACCACCAGUGGCGAAGGCUCUCCUAGAACGCGCUCACGAUGAGGAUG
rnacentral:rRNA from 1 species